ACGCUGGCGGCAUGCUUUACACAUGCAAGUCGGACGGCAGCACAGGGAAGCUUGCUUCUUGGGUGGCGAGUGGCGAACGGGUGAGUAACAUAUCGGAACGUACCGAGCAGUGGGGGAUAACUAAUCGAAAGAUUAGCUAAUACCGCAUAUUUUCUGAGGAAGAAAGCAGGGGACCUUUGGACCUUGCGCUGUUUGAGCGGCCGAUAUCUGAUUAGCUAGUUGGUGGGGUAAAGGCCUACCAAGGCGACGAUCAGUAGCGGGUCUGAGAGGAUGAUCCGCCACACUGGGACUGAGACACGGCCCAGACUCCUACGGGAGGCAGCAGUGGGGAAUUUUGGACAAUGGGCGCAAGCCUGAUCCAGCCAUGCCGCGUGUCUGAAGAAGGCCUUCGGGUUGUAAAGGACUUUUGUCAGGGAAGAAAAGGGCGGGGUUAAUACCCCUGUCUGAUGACGGUACCUGAAGAAUAAGCACCGGCUAACUACGUGCCAGCAGCCGCGGUAAUACGUAGGGUGCGAGCGUUAAUCGGAAUUACUGGGCGUAAAGCGGGCGCAGACGGUUACUUAAGCAGGAUGUGAAAUCCCCGGGCUCAACCUGGGAACUGCGUUCUGAACUGGGUGACUAGAGUGUGUCAGAGGGAGGUAGAAUUCCACGUGUAGCAGUGAAAUGCGUAGAGAUGUGGAGGAAUACCGAUGGCGAAGGCAGCCUCCUGGGAUAACACUGACGUUCAUGCCCGAAAGCGUGGGUAGCAAACAGGAUUAGAUACCCUGGUAGUCCACGCCCUAAACGAUGUCAAUUAGCUGUUGGGCAACAUGACUGCUUAGUAGCGAAGCUAACGCGUGAAAUCGACCGCCUGGGGAGUACGGUCGCAAGAUUAAAACUCAAAGGAAUUGACGGGGACCCGCACAAGCGGUGGAUGAUGUGGAUU
rnacentral:rRNA from 1 species